GUUUAGAUAUUAAAAUAGAACAUUUAAUGAUAAUUUAUUUACUAAUGAAAAUUUUUUAUGUGAUUGAAAAGAAGAAGAUGGUAGAUAAGGAGAAGAUUGUUGGAGGUUUUGAGAGGAUAUCUCUAUAUAAUUUCUUUUUUUUGAGAAAAAUAUCUCUAUAUAAUUCUAACAAUUGAAGUUUUUAAAGAAUAAUACUUGUUGUGAUAAAAAUAUCAUUUUACUUAUUUUCUAUUAAAAAAAUAGAUAGUACUCUAACAAUAACAAGCCAGAGAAAAAAAAAAUAUGAAUAUUAUUGAGCUUUUGAAAAAAUAAAUAUAAAAAAUUAAAUUAAAAAUAUAUUUACUCUCUCUCUCAUAUAUUUACGAAGUGUAUAAAAUUAAGUUUUUUUUUUUUGGGAAACUUCAAAAACCCCCCUUGUGGUUUCACGCUUUCUUAUUUUAAUACCCCAUAGUUUAAAGUGUGUCAAGUUAGUACCGAGUGGUUUCGCACUUUCUCACUUUAGUAUCCUGUGGUUUAAAGUGUAUCAAGUUAGUACCCUGUGAUUUCGUACUUUCUCACUUUUGUACCUUGUGGUUUAAUAUUUUAUUAAGAGAAAAAUAAACUCACAGGAUACUAACUUGAUACAAAAAUAAAAUCAUAGAGUACUAACUUGAUACACUUUAAAUCACAGGAUACUAAAAUAAGAAAGUGUGAAACUACAUGGUAUUAACUUGAUAUACUUUGAAGUAUAAGGUACUAAAAUGAAAAGGUACGAAACCAUAAGAAUUUUUAUGAAGUUUUUCUUUUUUUUUUUUU
rnacentral:lncRNA from 1 species